rnacentral:snoRNA from 1 species
GAGUUGAUGAUGAUAAUUUACUUUAUCUUAGCGGAUUUCACUGAGAUCAAUUAUCUGAUUGUUACACACACUAAAGCUC